AAGGACUCUUGUGCACGAAGUCAUGAUUGAUCACCAGGGAGUAUAUUAUGAUUGCAGUCUGAAAAAAUUUGUAAUUGGCACAAAGCCUGCAACAUUUGAUGACUGUGCGCAUACUUUCGAUGCGUCCAAACCCAGUGAUGUGAAGCAAACAAGCCCGGGUGGCAAAACUGGAAUAGCUCAAUUUAACAAAAUGAAUCUUGAAGGGACACAAUUGAAGGAGCAGGGAUUUGCGGAAGGAGAAGAAGAUGAUGAGGAAAUUGUAUUCCAG
rnacentral:misc_RNA from 1 species